UCGAGCGAGAUUUGAUCAACGAAACUUCGGUCUAGGAGAUUAAAGGAAAGCGGCGGACGGGUGAGUAACGCGUAGGCAACCUGCCUUGUGCAGAGGGAUAGCCACUGGAAACGGUGAUUAAAACCUCAUAACACCACUAAUUCACAUGGGAUAGUGGUCAAAGAUUUAUCGGCACAAGAUGGGCCUGCGUCUGAUUAGUUAGUUGGUGAGGUAACGGCUCACCAAGGCGACGAUCAGUAGCCGACCUGAGAGGGUGAUCGGCCACAUUGGAACUGAGACACGGUCCAAACUCCUACGGGAGGCAGCAGUGAGGAAUAUUGCACAAUGGGCGAAAGCCUGAUGCAGCAACGCCGCGUGAAGGAUGAAGGUUUUCGGAUCGUAAACUUCUGUCCAUGGGGAAGAUAAUGACGGUACCCAUGAAGAAAGCCCCGGCUAACUACGUGCCAGCAGCCGCGGUAAUACGUAGGGGGCAAGCGUUAUCCGGAAUUAUUGGGCGUAAAGAGUGCGUAGGUGGUUACCUAAGCGCAGGGUUUAAGGCAAUAGCUCAACUAUUGUAAGCCU
rnacentral:rRNA from 1 species